rnacentral:rRNA from 1 species
UACGAGGGGGGCAAAUGUUGUUCGGAAUCACUGGGCGUAAAGGGAGCGUAGGCGGGUUUCUAAGUCAGGUGUUUAAUCCCGGGGCCCAACCCCGGACAGGCACUUGAAACUGGAAAUCUUGAAUAGUGGAGAGGUCAGUGGAAUUGGGGUGUAGCGGGUGGAAUGCGUAGAGAUCCCCAAGAACACCAGUUGCGAAGGCGGCUGACUGGACACAUAUUGACGCUGAGGCUCGAAAGCAUGGGGAGCAACAGG